AUUUUUAGUUCAAUUGAUGUUUAACAUUCAAAAAGGUUUGCAAAGCCUAAAAUCAUACGUUUGUUCCUGUUGGAGCUUUUACACUAAACCAAUAAGCAAAAGUGA